UACGAAGGGGGCUAGCGUUGCUCGGAAUCACUGGGCGUAAAGGGCGCGUAGGCGGAUCUUUAAGUCGGGGGUGAAAGCCCAGGGCUCAACCCUGGAAUUGCCUUCGAUACUGAAGAUCUCGAGACCGGAAGAGGAAAGUGGAACUGCGAGUGUAGAGGUGAAAUUCGUAGAUAUUCGCAAGAACACCAGUGGCGAAGGCGGCUUACUGGUCCGGUUCUGACGCUGAGGCGCGAAAGCGUGGGGAGCAAACAGG
rnacentral:rRNA from 1 species